AAAAGACACCACGCAGAGCUGGGCAGGGGAAUCCUUCUGCUGUGUGGCUUCAGUGUAUUUGGCCAUGGGAACAUGCCCAGUGGGGGAGAGGGGAGUCACUCACUUGCCAAAACCCUGGCUGAAGCUGCCUCCAGAAGCACCACCUGCCUCCUGCCACAAAGCCUCUCUUCCACUCCUGGGCACUGGAACCAGGAAGGAAAGCCCUUCCUGCAAGGGGAGACAGUGGAAGAGACCUGGGCUGGCAGAGCAUCCUCCAGAGAAGGAAUGGGCUCUUUGCACACAGGCCUGGCUCCUGAGUUACACACUAUAAAUCAGCCUUUGGAAAGACUUGCAAGGCUCCUGUGCCCAAGCAAUGAAGAUCAGAAGUCCCCAGCAGUGACAGGCACUCUCCACCCCCAGUGCUCCCCGGGCAGCAGCCGCCCCAGGGCUGGCUCAGCUCCUGCACCCUAAUCCCACCUUGCCCUGCAGAGCAGCCCAGAGCAGCUGGCACCCUACACACAGCCCAGAUGUGGCUGCUGCUGUCCACUGUGGCUUAGAUCUCAUUAGGGUUUGGAUGGAUUAGAGGCCAACAGGGACAGGCUGCUCUGGGCAGCCUCUCCUGCCUUUCACAUGCUAAAGGGAGCUGCAGACAGCCAGGACAUGCCAGGAGCUUCAGCAGUGCCAUCACCCACCCCUGCCACCCAGCACACCAGCUGUGGAGGCCCUGGAGGGUGGUUCAUUGAUAUCAAGGCACUUUUUGAAAUUGGGGUUUUCUUCUCCUGCCAUGGGAACUGACCUGCUCUGUGGAAAGCCACGAGCAGCAGGGAGCUUGCAAGGCUCAGUGUAGAUAGCCUCUGCCUGAGGGGUGUUUGUUCACUAAAGUGGGCUGCCUUCAGUGAGGAGAGAAAGGACAUCCAAUUAAAAACAUUCAAUCAGGUUAGAGGCACAUGCACAAAACCAGCAAAGACCAAUCUUGUUUGCAGUGGAGACUGGCAGUGUUCUAUGGAGAAAUGUGGGCCAUGGAGUGCCUGGUACAUCACUUAUGUUCAAGGAAUCAUCUGGCAGAAGUGUGAAGGAGCUCUGUUCACAGACCCCAUCACAAAGGACUGCAUUUUCCUCCUGAAGCCUGUUGCCAGUACCAGGUAAUAAAAACACCAAGCCAGUUUUUCUAUCAAGAUUUUUCUUUUGUCUUCAAAAUGGAGAGGGUGCCAAAGUUGAGGAGAGCACUUUAAAUCAGAAAGAAUGGUACACCACAGCUUGACUUCAUUUGGGGGAAUUUAAAACUGAAGAAUGACUCAGGAAAAAAGUUUCUGCAAACCUUGACUCUGAUUUCAUCAGCUGAGGGACAAAACCCUGUCAGCUCUGCUACAGACUCUGGCUGGAGCAGUCACAUGCUGCAGAUAUGAGAGGGAGGCAAGCUGCCGUGAAACUGAGGGAUAAUUGGUACCUAAUAAGUUUAAGUGUUAUCAGUGGUAUUGUUAAAUAUAGUUAAAUGCAGUUUAUCCACCUCUAAUUCAGUAUUGAUCCACUUCUACUGUACACCAAGGAGGCCAAGUGUGCUUGAUUUUCAGUGCAACACUUCAGCAUCACUGACUGCCCUGGAACCUGUGGGACCUUCUGGAAAUGCUGGUUGACCUCAGCAAUCCCCACUCAAGAUUAGCUUAAUGCAAGUCCAGUGAUAACUGCAGUUUCAUUAGUAAAGCUCCAGCUCCUUGAGUCAUUAAACCCUGUGAAGAACUCUUUUUCUCCUUGUUUCUUUAAACAUUUAUAACCUC